CAGUAGCCGCGGUAAUACGUAGGUCCCGAGCGUUGUCCGGAUUUAUUGGGCGUAAGGCGAGCGCAGGCGGAUUGAUAAGUCUGAAGUUAAAGGCUGUGGCUCAACCAUAGUUCGCUUUGGAAACUGUCAAACUUGAGUGCAGAAGGGGAGAGUGGAAUUCCAUGUGUAGCGGUGAAAUGCGUAGAUAUAUGGAGGAACACCGGUGGCGAAAGCGGCUCUCUGGCCUGUAACUGACGCUGAGGCUCGAAAGCGUGGGGAGCGAACAGGAUUAGAUACCCCAGUAGUCCCUGUCUCUUAUACA
rnacentral:rRNA from 1 species